rnacentral:rRNA from 1 species
GGGUUGUGAGGUUAAGCGACUAAGCGUACACGGUGGAUGCCCUGGCAGUCAGAGGCGAUGAAGGGCGUGCUAAUCUGCGAUAAGCGCCGGUAAGGUGAUAUGAACCGUUAUAACCGGCGAUACCCGAAUGGGGAAACCCAGUGUGAUUCGUCACACUAUCAUUAACUGAAUCCAUAGGUUAAUGAGGCGAACCGGGGGAACUGAAACAUCUAAGUACCCCGAGGAAAAGAAAUCAACCGAGAUUCCCCCAGUAGCGGCGAGCGAACGGGGAGGAGCCCAGAGCCUGAAUCAGCAUGUGUGUUAGUGGAAGCGUCUGGAAAGGCGCGCGAUACAGGGUGACAGCCCCGUACACAAAAGCGCAUGUGCUGUGAGCUCGAUGAGUAGGGCGGGACACGUGGUAUCCUGUCUGAAUAUGGGGGGACCAUCCUCCAAGGCUAAAUACUCCUGACUGACCGAUAGUGAACCAGUACCGUGAGGGAAAGGCGAAAAGAACCCCGGCGAGGGGAGUGAAAAAGAACCUGAAACCGUGUACGUACAAGCAGUGGGAGCACAGGUUUACCUGUGUGACUGCGUACCUUUUGUAUAAUGGGUCAGCGACUUAUAUUCUGUAGCAAGGUUAACCGAAUAGGGGAGCCGGAGGGAAACCGAGUCUUAAUUGGGCGUUAAGUUGCAGGGUAUAGACCCGAAACCCGGUGAUCUAGCCAUGGGCAGGUUGAAGGUUGGGUAACACUAACUGGAGGACCGAACCGACUAAUGUUGAAAAAUUAGCGGAUGACCUGUGGCUGGGGGUGAAAGGCCAAUCAAACCGGGAGAUAGCUGGUUCUCCCCGAAAGCUAUUUAGGUAGCGCCUCGUGAAUUCAUCUCCGGGGGUAGAGCACUGUUUCGGCUAGGGGGCCAUCCCGGCUUACCAACCCGAUGCAAACUGCGAAUACCGGAGAAUGUUAUCACGGGAGACACACGGCGGGUGCUAACGUCCGUCGUGAAGAGGGAAACAACCCAGACCGCCAGCUAAGGUCCCAAAGUCAUGGUUAAGUGGGAAACGAUGUGGGAAGGCCCAGACAGCCAGGAUGUUGGCUUAGAAGCAGCCAUCAUUUAAAGAAAGCGUAAUAGCUCACUGGUCGAGUCGGCCUGCGCGGAAGAUGUAACGGGGCUAAACCAUGCACCGAAGCUGCGGCAGCGAACGUAUCACUUAAAGCGAUUCAGCGGGUUACGAUUGACGGAGCGAAGCGACGUCAAAGCGUAUACAAAGUCGAGUCGGUUUAAGGAUACGUUCGUUGGGUAGGGGAGCGUUCUGUAAGCCUGUGAAGGUGGCCUGUGAGGGUUGCUGGAGGUAUCAGAAGUGCGAAUGCUGACAUAAGUAACGAUAAAGCGGGUGAAAAGCCCGCUCGCCGGAAGACCAAGGGUUCCUGUCCAACGUUAAUCGGGGCAGGGUGAGUCGACCCCUAAGGCGAGGCCGAAAGGCGUAGUCGAUGGGAAACAGGUUAAUAUUCCUGUACUUGGUGUUACUGCGAAGGGGGGACGGAGAAGGCUAUGUUGGCCGGGCGACGGUUGUCCCGGUUUAAGCGUGUAGGCUGGUUUUCCAGGCAAAUCCGGAAAAUCAAGGCUGAGGCGUGAUGACGAGGCACUACGGUGCUGAAGCAACAAAUGCCCUGCUUCCAGGAAAAGCCUCUAAGCAUCAGGUAACAUCAAAUCGUACCCCAAACCGACACAGGUGGUCAGGUAGAGAAUACCAAGGCGCUUGAGAGAACUCGGGUGAAGGAACUAGGCAAAAUGGUGCCGUAACUUCGGGAGAAGGCACGCUGACACGUAGGUGAAGUGAUUUACUCAUGGAGCUGAAGUCAGUCGAAGAUACCAGCUGGCUGCAACUGUUUAUUAAAAACACAGCACUGUGCAAACACGAAAGUGGACGUAUACGGUGUGACGCCUGCCCGGUGCCGGAAGGUUAAUUGAUGGGGUCAGCGCAAGCGAAGCUCCUGAUCGAAGCCCCGGUAAACGGCGGCCGUAACUAUAACGGUCCUAAGGUAGCGAAAUUCCUUGUCGGGUAAGUUCCGACCUGCACGAAUGGCGUAAUGAUGGCCAGGCUGUCUCCACCCGAGACUCAGUGAAAUUGAACUCGCUGUGAAGAUGCAGUGUACCCGCGGCAAGACGGAAAGACCCCGUGAACCUUUACUAUAGCUUGACACUGAACAUUGAGCCUUGAUGUGUAGGAUAGGUGGGAGGCUUUGAAGCGUGGACGCCAGUCUGCGUGGAGCCGACCUUGAAAUACCACCCUUUAAUGUUUGAUGUUCUAACGUGGACCCGUAAUCCGGGUUGCGGACAGUGUCUGGUGGGUAGUUUGACUGGGGCGGUCUCCUCCUAAAGAGUAACGGAGGAGCACGAAGGUUGGCUAAUCCUGGUCGGACAUCAGGAGGUUAGUGCAAUGGCAUAAGCCAGCUUGACUGCGAGCGUGACGGCGCGAGCAGGUGCGAAAGCAGGUCAUAGUGAUCCGGUGGUUCUGAAUGGAAGGGCCAUCGCUCAACGGAUAAAAGGUACUCCGGGGAUAACAGGCUGAUACCGCCCAAGAGUUCAUAUCGACGGCGGUGUUUGGCACCUCGAUGUCGGCUCAUCACAUCCUGGGGCUGAAGUAGGUCCCAAGGGUAUGGCUGUUCGCCAUUUAAAGUGGUACGCGAGCUGGGUUUAGAACGUCGUGAGACAGUUCGGUCCCUAUCUGCCGUGGGCGCUGGAGAACUGAGGGGGGCUGCUCCUAGUACGAGAGGACCGGAGUGGACGCAUCACUGGUGUUCGGGUUGUCAUGCCAAUGGCACUGCCCGGUAGCUAAAUGCGGAAAAGAUAAGUGCUGAAAGCAUCUAAGCACGAAACUUGCCCCGAGAUGAGUUCUCCCUGAGACUUUAGGUCUCCUGAAGGAACGUUGAAGACGACGACGUUGAUAGGCCGGGUGUGUAAGCGCAGCGAUGCGUUGAGCUAACCGGUACUAAUGAACCGUGAGGCUUAACCUUACAACGCCGAAG